GAUGAACGCUAGCGGCAGGCCUAAUACAUGCAAGUCGAACGGUGUCUUCGGACAUAGUGGCGCACGGGUGCGUAACACGUAUGCAACCUACCUUACAUUGGAGGAUAGCCUUUCGAAAGGGAGAUUAAUACCGCAUAAGACAGUAGCUGGGCAUCCAGCAGCUGUUAAAGAUUUAUCGAUGUAAGCUGGGCAUGCGUCCAAUUAGCUAGUUGGUGAGGUAACGGCUCACCAAGGCAAUGAUUGGUAGGGGAACUGAGAGGUCAAUCCCCCACACUGGCACUGAGAUACGGGCCAGACUCCUACGGGAGGCAGCAGUAGGGAAUAUUGGGCAAUGGACGCAAGUCUGACCCAGCCAUGCCGCGUGCAGGAUGAAGGCGUUAUGCGUUGUAAACUGCUUUUAUACAGGAAGAAACGACUCUUGCGAGAGGCAUUGACGGUACUGUAUGAAUAAGCAUCGGCUAACUCCGUGCCAGCAGCCGCCGUAAUAC
rnacentral:rRNA from 1 species